GUUUGGUUUGGCCAUGAAGGAAGAAAAAAAAAAAAACAACUCAAAGAUGAAUAAUUAUGUUGGAAAAGCAUAUAGUUACAAAGAAAAAAGUCACCUAUAUGUCAGAGAAAAAUGUGUCUAUGUUGUAGGCAGUAUAUAAAAUGGAUGUGGAUGAGAUAACUAAGGGAUUGUGUAUAGAGAAAAAUGAGAAUUGAGAUUACACCUGGACAAUUUAUGAUUCAACAUUUUGUGGUUGGGAAAAGUAGAAAAAGCUAGCAAAAGAGAAUCAGAAGUAGGAAGAGGAAAACUAGGAGGGUGUGAUAUUUCAAUGCAAUACUAUACUUCGGGAGCUUUUCUUGCUGUACAUAAAAAUGGAUACCUCUCUCUCUC